AAUGAACGUUGGCGGCGUGGAUCAGGCAUGCAAGUCGUACGAGAAUCGUAGCAAUACGAGGAAAGUGGCGGAAGGGAGAGGAUUACGUGGGAAUCUACCCUCAGAACUGGGAUAGCGGCGGGAAACUGCCGGUAAUACCAGAUAAUGUCUGUGGACCAAAGGUGUGAUUCCGUCUGGGGAUGAGCCCACGUCCUAUUAGCUAGUUGGCAGGGUAAUGGCCUACCAAGGCAAUGAUGGGUAGCGGGUGUGAGAGCAUGACCCGCCUCACUGGGACUGAGAACUGCCCAGACACCUGCGGGUGGCUGCAGUCGAGAAUCUUCGGCAAUGGGCGCAAGCUUGACCGAGCGACGCCGCGUGCGGGAUGAAGGCCUUCGGGUUGUAAACCGCUGUCGUAGGGGAGCAAGAGAUGAGGGUACUCCCUCUGAUUUGAGCGAUCCUAGGAGGAAGGACGGGCUAAGUUCGUGCCAGCAGCCGCAGUAAGAC
rnacentral:rRNA from 1 species